GAGAGGAGGGGGGAGGGAGAGGGAGGACCAGAGGCCCUAGUGUACAGUGUCCCAGACCUGCCUCAAGGGCCCACUCGCCGCCACCCACUUUCUGGGGAAGAGAGGAAACGGGAAGAUUAAAGCACACCAAGAACAGGUUCCUUCUUACCAGCAACGUACAGACUUUUAAUUGCAAAGAAGUAAAAGUUCCAUUACAUGGAACCUCAAUUCACACCCACUCUCUGCGUCUCCGAGUUGUAGCGAACGGAAUUACAGCGCACACUGCACUGCACAUGGUCACCUGUGCGCCCUCGUGGCCAGGACGGGAGACAAACCAUACAACUCCAGUGCUUGGGAGGCAGAGACACGAGGAUCUCUAUGAUUUAAAGCCAGCUUGUUCUACACACACCGGGCACGCAGAGGAUCCUUUGUUGCUUGUCUCCAGGCCUCAGCUGGCUGGAGAAAGCCCACUGGCAGCCCUCAGUCCUUCCUGCACAAGUCCCUGAGGUGACUUCUAUGUAGUAGUUACGAGUGGAAAAGCCUCUGAGGAUUUCUCUUAACCGCACCCACUGGGGGUCUCAGCUGAAGCUCACACAAAUGCCUGGGCUGCUCUCUGAUCUUCUCUGCUGCACUGCAGAGCAGCCUGGGACUUUGGGGCUUCCCAGGUGCCCUUAAGGUCAAUACAGGCAAGGUUUUCUUAGUUUUCAAGUUUUGCAUUUAAACAUGGAGUCACACAGGGGAAGAACACAGGGUAACUCCCAGGCUGAGACAGUGACCCUGCACUUCACCUCUAGGCCUCCUCAGAGCCCCAGUGGUAGCAACCCCAUUUCAGCAGGCUCUGGGGGCCCAAGCCCGUGUGUGUGUGUGUGUGUGUGUGUGUGUGUGUGUGUGUGUGUGUGUGAGACCCGGCUCUGCAUGCAUGAGGGGAAGAGCCCUGGAAGCUCAGGGCUGACCUCUGCUUGAUCCUCUUGACGUACAACCUCUGAAAUCCUAACUGCUUAGCAGUGGGACUUUCAUGUGUACAAAGGCUUGUUUCUCCUCCGAGGGCCACACAAAGGGUCCAUUCUUUCGGGGGUGGGGGUGGGGGGAAGCUCCCCAGGUGCAGUUCCGACUUGAGCCUGAAGAGGCUCCGAGCCCUUCCACGCUGAGCUUUGUGAAGGCUUGCCUUUCACAAACCACAACCACCCCAGCCACCUCCCAGCACCCUCUUUGGUUAACCGCACUCAUGCUCCCCACUGCUGUUAUGAGAUGCAAGGGAAUGAGGGCUGGGAAGAGGUACAAGGCCCCUCCAAGGGCAGAGAGGACCCCAAGGGGGUCACGACUUCCACCCCACUGGCCUUCACCCCACUGGCCAUCUUGGCCUCUAGACCUGUGCAGCCCUCUGACUUCUGCAGUUUGGAGCCAGAGGCCACUCAAUGUUUUUGGUCCAUCUUUAUGAGGGACGAGUACCUAGUCACGUCAAUAAAGGAUGAGUAAGAAGGGAGAUGGGCCUGGGUGCAAUGGUGUCUUUACUUUUCAGCACUGGGGACACAGGUGCAUCUGUGAGUUUGAGGCCAAUCUGAAUCUACACGAGUUCGAGGCUAGCCAGAGCCACACAUCAAGAUCCUGUCUAAAAAGGAACAAAACAAAACCAGAGGGCAGACCAUUCUUAUUUGCACUGUUUGAUAAGGACACCCCAAAAGCACACCACGGAGGAGCAGUCAGUGCGGCAGAAUACUAGUUAGGACACCCCCACAUCUUGACUAAACCAACAUCUCACCUUGUCUUGGUACAAAAAAACAAAACAAAACAAAACAAAACAAAACAAAACAAAAAAACCCCAAACCAGCAGGGCAGAGGGCCAUGAGGCGAGCUGCACACCCGACAGCAAACACUUGGGCUCUGCUGCUCCUCCUUGACCAUUUACAUCAGCUUUGAGGCUGCUGACAACUAUCUCUGUAGAAAGUCAGGCCUAAAGAUCAAACUCAGGGAGGUGCCCUCCUGUCUCCCUCCGCCAGCCAGCUAUUCUAACUCAUUCCUUCUGAAGGGGGUGGGGCGCAGCAGCAUUUGACAAAGGCCUUAGCAGAGAGCGCACUGGCCAGCUCGGGGGAGGCUGAACUUCUGAGAAAACAAUCUGAUGGCAGUGUGGGAGGGAACCAGGAUUUAGUAAGACUUGAACUGUAACCCAGUCUCCAGCAUCCAUCGUAAAAACUCAGGAGCCAUGGACAUCGUGUAAGACACGCACUGUCCUUCUCCUUUUCGAGAUGCUGAUGACUUCACUCAGGGCUCACACAGUGUCAGGGAAGCACUCUAUCUCUGAGCUACAUCCUGAGAUUAAGGUGGGGGAGUGGUGGGCGGUGUUGAGACAGGGUCUCACUAUGUAACACCCGGCAGACCAGGAACUCACUAUGGAGACCAGGUUAGCCUAGAACUCAUAAAGAUAUGCAACUGCCUCCCAAGUACUGGGGUUAAAGGUGUGCACCAGGACACCUGGUGCCAGCAGGCGCCUUUAACCACGCAGUUCCAGCUAUC